CUGGAUUGAUGAAAAAGGCAGGCAAUCACUUGGUGAAGCUGAGAAGACAAGGCAUUGUACAAGUAUUGAGAUAUUGAUAAAAGGGGAAGAAUCUAGCCAGAAGAGGAAAGAAUAUUUUCUCACAGUUGCCCAGAUGCUACUGGUCACUUUCCAUAAUGGUGUGGAUUUAAAACUCCACACAUAGUUGCAAACUUUUAAAUAAGUGUCUGUUGAUUGAACUCUCUCGAAUUUGUUACAGAAAAUAAAUUUGUAUUCAUUCAAAACUGUUGGAAUUUGUAUAGAUGUCACUUACGUUUACCAUCUCUUUCUUCCACAUUUUCCAUGAAACGCGUUGGAGCAUUUUAGAGCAAUAAUCCCAAUAUCCUUCAUAGACAAUGUACACUAGAAAACAUUUUUGUUUCAUCAGUUAUCCUGAACUUAUUUUUUUAAUAAGAAUAAUUUAUUAAGAAUCUUUUUGUAGCAAAUGAACAGACUGAGACUCGUAGGAUCUGUGGACUGAAGAAAAGUUAUGGUAGAUACGUACAUCAUAACUGAAGCACUAUCCUUUCUUAAUGUGUUUUUCAUAUUACUUAAACUAUACUAUAAAAUGAUAUACUAUAAAUCAGUAUAUGUUAUGUGAUUCACUGACAGAAGAGGUCAUCUGGACAGGACAUAGUGACUUGCUACAGACUAGCAAAUAUGUGUCUAAAAGUCUGAUGUGUAAGGAACUGUAAGAGUGUGUUCAGGGACCUUUUAAAUGCACGACCAUUUGAAGUGACAAACAGUGUGAUAGAAUAGAAAAACAAACACACUUUGCAAUGUUUGCAUAUCAAAGGCUCUUAGAGAGUAUGCUUUGGAAAUGCUGGAGCAACGAAGUGAUGGACUGUGCGAACAGAAAAAAACUCGCAUCACAACAAUAUAGUAUAGGAGGAUAUGUAUUUUCACUCUUUAUACACAAAUGCAACAAAAAAGCAAAAUGACAAAGUGAAUAAGACUGGGAAAUAAAUCAAAGUAUUACAGUAAUCCCCACCAGCCUCUCAAGGCAAGACACAGGCUACUACAACCCCCCAAUGUUUUUGUAUUGUUCAUGCACGGAUUGUCCCGUUCAGGAUCUGCUACUGAUGGGUAAUGCUCUGGUAUUAUACAGGUUUAGGAUUGUGUUUAAUAUAUGUUUGCUGGAGAAAGGGAGG